rnacentral:tRNA from 4 species
UGUCCCAUAGUAUAAUGGUAGUACAACUGAUUUUGGUUCAGUUUGUCUAGGUUCGAAUCCUGGUGGGACAA